AGCGAACGCUGGCGGCGUGCCUAACACAUGCAAGUCGAACGUGAAAGGGAGCAAUCCUGAGUAAAGUGGCGUACGGGUGAGUAACGCGUAGAUAAUCUACCCCAGAGUCUGGAAUAACCUGCCGAAAGGCGGGCUAAUACUGGAUAGAGCGAUGGAAUCCGUAAUUGGGUUUUUCGGGAAAGGGAGGAAGCAAUUCCCUUCGCUCUGGGAUGAGUCUGCGUCUCAUUAGCCAGUUGGCGGGGUAACGGCCCACCAAGGCGAUGAUGGGUAGCUGGUCUGAGGGGAUGAUCAGCCAAACUGGAACUGAAACACGGGCCAGACUCCUACGGGAGGCAGCAGUGGGGAAUCUUGCGCAAUGGACGAAAGUCUGACGCAGCCACGCCGCGUGAGUGAAGAAGGCCUUCGGGUUGUAAAGCUCUGUCGAGCGGGACGAAAAAUGAUUAGGUGAAUAGCCUAGUCAUCUGACGGUAUCGCUAAAGGAAGCACCGGCUAACUCCGUGCCAGCCGCCGCGGUAACAC
rnacentral:rRNA from 1 species